UGGCUCAGCGGUUAAGAGCUUGGCUGCUAACCAAAAGGUUGGUGGUUCGAAUUCACC
rnacentral:tRNA from 1 species